rnacentral:rRNA from 1 species
GCCCGUCACACCAUGGGAGAUGGAUAUGCCCGAAGUCAGUGACCUAACCCACAUCAGUGAGUUUGACCGCGUGGUUGCGAUGCGGAAGCAUCGCAACAUCAUAAAGAACACGUUGCCGUAGGGGCAGACAGUGCCGGAAGGCACGGGAUGCCGUGGAGGCAGGUCAAGCUUAGUGAUGGUGGGGAGGAGCUGCCGAAGGUGGAGCCAUUAACUGGGGUGAAGUCGUAACAAGGUAGC